CCAUCUUGUGGGGACACAGCUCAGCAUGAGGCAGACUCCCACAGAGAAAUAAUUUCACAUUUAAGGCAAACUGGAUCACAGGUAGGAGACACAGAAAACCUGACAAAUAAUCAACAAACCUGCUCACAUGACAUCAAUGCUGUGCUGAGAGAGAUGAGCGCAUCGUUGGCUGGACUGAAGGUUGAUAUGGAGUACGUAAAGAAAGAUAAUGAAGCUAAGGUGCUACAACUUCAGUUCCAGAAGGAGGAGAUGGAGAAGCUGAAACAACAGCAACAAGUCAAGGAAAGAGAGUUGGAGGUCCAGAAGAAAAAGCUGGACAAGCUAAAACAACAGCACCAAG